AGCAAGGACAUGAGAGGAGUAGGAUGGGGCAGGGUGACUAAUCUACAGACGGAAAACAGCAAACUGAAGGAUAUCCUACGUCUCAGAGAAAGGGAGAUCAGAGAGCUAAAGGAGCAACACACAGCGGACGUUGGGAACGCGACGAACAGGUCGGAGGGCGAGGAUGCGAAAGAUCGUCUGGAAGAAGGAGCCAGGAAGAUUCGGGAGCUGAGGGCGGAGGUGAGGGAGAUGGAGGAGCAGCUGACGCAAGCCGAGGAGCAACACCUGGAAGAGGUGAGGAACCUGAGAAGAAUGUUUCAACGCACGAGAGAGGAAGAGGCAGCCGAAGAAAGAAGGGAAUUGAGUCAAAUGAUAAGAAAUCGGGAAGAGAAGAUUGAGUCCCUGAAGGAAAUGCUCAGAGACCGAGAGGAGAAGCUGGGGGAGAGAGAGAGCCACCUGAAGCAGGCGGAGAGACAGUUACGAGUGCAAGAACGGAAGAUGAGACAUUUACAUUCCCUAUUAAGGGAUAGAGGGUUUGAGGUGGAGGAUUCGAGGAGCUGGAGGCGGUGAGCGCUGGCCAGCCCUCGACCUCAGAGGCGUCUCUGCCACUCAGUCUUCUUGCGAGGAGGAGCAGGGGUCGGGGACCAGUGCGCAGCGACGAGCCUCCCCAAGCAGCAGGCAGGGACGAGCCUCCCCAAGCAGCAGGCAGGGACGAGCCUCCCCAAGCAGCAGGCAGGGACGAGCCUCCCCAAGUAUCAAGCAGGGACAAUCUUAAACUAGCAGCCGCCAAGGACCAUUCUUCAGGUGCGGCUUAGGGGCGUGACCCUUGCCGUGUUAGCUCGCCCUCGGAAGGGAGCGACCAGUGAGCUCUAAAGACUUUUCGUCAGAAAUUGUGUUUGUCUUUUGGAGAGGAAGAGACAAUGGAGAAGGAAAUAGUGUAGUUUUCUUUCAACUUAAUCUGUUUUGUUUUCCCUCAAGAAGAUAAAACAUAAGCAAAUGUAUA
rnacentral:misc_RNA from 1 species